rnacentral:rRNA from 1 species
UACCGGCGGCUCGAGUGGUGGCCACUAUUACUGGGCUUAAAGCGCUCGUAGCUGGUCUGUUAAGUCUCUGGGGAAAUCUACUGGCUUAACCAAUAGGCGUUUCAGGGAUACUGGCAGACUAGGGACCGGGAGAGGUGAGAGGUACUCCAGGGGUAGGAGUGAAAUCCUGUAAUCCUUGGGGGACCACCUGUGGCGAAGGCGUCUCACCAGAACGGCUCCGACAGUGAGGGACGAAAGCUGGGGGAGCGAACAGG